AAAGGUAUAGCUCAAGUGGUAGAGCAUAUGCUUAGUGUGCACAAAAGUCCUGGGUUCAAUCCCAGUACCUCCU
rnacentral:tRNA from 1 species